AGAGUUUGAUCAUGGCUCAGGACGAACGCUGGCGGUGCGCCUUAUGCAUGCAAGUCGAGCGAAGCUUUUUGGUAGUUUACUACUAGAAAUGACUGAGCGGCGAACGGGUGAGUAACGCGUGAGCAAUCUACCUUAGUUACUGGGAUAGCCCGAGGAAACUCGGAUUAAUACCAGAUAUUCUUAUUUUUUCACAUGAAGUUUUAAGGAAAGGUCAGCCGAACUAAGAUGAGCUCGCGUUCUAUCAGCUAGUUGGUGGGGUAAAAGCCUACCAAGGCUACGACGGAUAGCUGGUCUGAGAGGACGAUCAGCCACACUGGGACUGAGACACGGCCCAGACUCCUACGGGAGGCUGCAGCAGGGAAUAUUGUGCAAUGAGCGAAAGCUUGACACAGCGACACCGCGUGUGGGAUGACGGUUCUAGGAUUGCAAACCACUUUCAGGAGGGAAGAAAAUGACGGUACCUCCACAAGAAGACCCGGCCAACUAUGUGCCAGCCGCCGCGGUAAUUC
rnacentral:rRNA from 1 species